rnacentral:lncRNA from 1 species
CUUCAGGAGUGAAGCUGCAGACCUUCGCGUGAUGGAGGUUGAGAAGUCCAACUUCAAGGCACCACAUCUGGUGAGAGCCUUCAUUCCGAUGACAGCCUUCAUGCUGGUAAGAUUUUCUUCAGAGUUCCAAGGUGGUGCACGGCAUCACAUGGCGAAGGAAAUGAGCGUGCUAGCUCAGGUGUCUCUUCCUCUUCUUAUAAAGCCACCAGUCCCACUCCUGUGCUAGUAACUCUUUAAUCCAUCAACCCAUUAAUCCAUGAAUAGAUUAACCCAUGAGGCCUCUGCCCUCAGGACCCAAUCACCUCUUAAAGGCCUGACCUGUCAAUAUUGCCAUACUGGGGACUCAGUUUCAACAUGAGUUUUGAAAGGGACAAACAUUCAAUCCAUAGUAACAUGAGAGCUUUUCAAAGCCCUUCUUUGUUGAAGUAUGUCCUUCUCCAGCCUCUUUUUUCCCAGGCUUUUUGUUUUUUCUAUUGCUUGUGCAGCUGUUAUCCUUUGCUACAGGUGGCAAUAGCUAAUACAUUUGCCUUUAAAUUUGUUUGACAAACACCACCCUGGAAGUAGCCUCAACUCUGGGGAAGCUCCAAGACAGGUAAAAUACAGGUAAGCCCUUGAGCAGAUCCUUCAGGAAGCUACCAUAUGGGUCAAAACACAGAACCACAAUUCUUUAAUUCUUUGAGAAUAAGGUCUGUAUUGUUCCCUCUGUUACCAGCAACCUGCAGCAGGAAAAUGGGCUUCAGUUUUCAAGUCUGCAGCUGAGUUGGGAAGUUGCGGACAGUAACCAGGAUCGCUGUCCUUAUAAGAAGUGGAAGAAACAUCAGAGAGCUCUCCCUCUCCACACACACAGAGGAAAGGCCACAUGGGGACAAGAGAGGGCAACUGUCUACAAAUCUGGAAGAGAGACUUCAGAAGAAACCAGCACUGAUGGCAUCUGAUCUUGGACUUCCAGCCUCUGGAUCUGUAAGAAAAUACAUGUCUAUUGUUUAUGCCAUCCAGGCUGUGGCACUUUGUUAGGGCAGCCCAAUGACCAAAAGGAUUAAUGAGAGGCUCCUUCACAGUGGAUGCUGUGGGGGACAUUUACAUGGUAUAAAAACAUCCUCACAUUCUGUGCAUAGUCCACACACCUCUCCCCCAGCCCUCCAUGUCACCAAAUAUGCAGUUUACUCUUUCCCAAGUUGCUGACUAAUCUGAUGAAUCUGUCAAUGACUAACCAUGGAUUAGAGGGUCAUUGCUCAGACUAUCUUCCCUUUCAUGCAAAUAAACCAGACCUAAUGCCCGAAGCCCACUGGAAAGAUUGUCUUUCACCCCUCUCUUUCUGGCCAUUCCUGGGUGGGGUAUAGUUCAACACCUCAUCAUUUCUGGCUGGUUCCAUCUUACCAUGAAGAUCCAUUAAUAAAGCUGACCCACACCUUUCCCUCCUCUAUUUAGUGGGGGCAGGGAACUCCCCAUAAGGCCAUGGGUAUGUGUUGAGAGAGGAACAAUAAGACAGUGGGAAAGGUACCACGGGAGCCUGGACCACCAUGUGUUCCUGAAGUUUCUGUGUCAUUUCCAGAUCUGCCAGAGCCUGAUCUCAUACACACUGAUGUGGUACAGGAAAUGCCACCUGAAAAUAUGGUACCUUGGCAUUUGAGGAAACAGUAGAAGGAGGUCAUAGAAACUAGAAAGAAUUCCUCCUUGCUCUUUGUCCCCCAAAGGAGCCAUAAAACCUGGGCCGAGUUUCUUCUGAAAAUAAGUUAUAAGAUCCUUAUUCCAGAGGGGUCCUGCCCUGUGCCUGGAGGAAAAGAAUGAAGACACAGAGAUGCCUUGAAGAAUCUGAACAAACAGCCCUUGCUAAGUUCCCCCCAGUUUAUUGACAUUAGAUUAGACCUUUUGUCCUCCAAUUAUACUUCUGUGUUCCUGAAAAUACACAUUUUCCCGUUUUUUCUUUUGUUUGCUUUUUUUGAUCUUCAUUUCUGAAGAUUCCCAUGUCAUGUAAAAUAUAUGUUAAACAAAUGUG